UACGGGGGGGGCAAGCGUUGUUCGGAAUUACUGGGCGUAAAGGGUUCGUAGGUGGCUUGCUAAGUCAGACGUGAAAUCCCUCAGCUUAACUGGGGAACUGCGUCUGAUACUGGCGAGCUUGAGUGCAGGAGAGGAACGCGGAAUUCCAGGUGUAGCGGUGAAAUGCGUAGAUAUCAGGAGGAACACCAAUUGCGAAGGCAGCUCGCUGGAACGUAACUGACGCUGAGACGCGAAAGCGUGGGGAGCAAACAGG
rnacentral:rRNA from 1 species